rnacentral:rRNA from 1 species
AUUGAACGCUAGCGGGAGGCUUUACACAUGCAAGUCGAACGAGUGGCGGACGGGUGAGUAAUGUAUCGGAACGUGCCCAGUAGCGGGGGAUAACUACUAGAAAGAGUGGCUAAUACCGCAUACUAUUGGAGCGGCCGAUAUGGGAUUAGCUAGUUGGUGGGGUAAAGGAUCACCAAGGCCACGAUCCGUAGCUGGUUGGAGAGGAUGACCAGCCACACUGGGACUGAGACACGGCCCAGACUCCUACGGGAGGCAGCAGUGGGGAAUUUUGGACAAUGGGGGAAACCCUGAUCCAGCCAUCCCGCGUGUAUGAGAAGGCCUUCGGGUUGUAAAGUACUUUUGGCAGAGAGGCGUUAUCUGCAGAAUAAGCACCGGCUAACUACGUGCCAGCAGCCGCGGUAAUUC